rnacentral:rRNA from 1 species
ACCGUGGGAAUCUAGAGCUAAUACGUGCAGUUCAUUGGCUCAUCUUCGGGUGGGUCAAAGCAUUUAUUAGACUAAACCAUCUACUAUGCUUGCAUAGUAAGGGGAAUCUGGAUAACUUUGCUGAUCGUAUGGCCUCGUGCCGGCGACGUUUCAAUUGAGUUUCUGCCCUAUCAACUUGUUGGUAAGGUAUUGGCUUACCAAGGUUGCAACGGGUAACGGGGAAUCAGGGUUCGAUUCCGGAGAGGGAGCCUGAGAAACGGCUACCACAUCCAAGGAAGGCAACAGGCGCGCAAAUUACCCAAUCUAGACAGUAGGAGGUGGUGAAGAGAAUUACUAGGUGGUGACUCAAUGAGUUACCAGUUUGGAAUGAACGUAACUUAAGAAAUUCGAUGAGAAACAACUGGAGGGCAAGUCCUGGUGCCAGCAGCCGCGGUAAUUCCAGCUCCAGUAGUUUGCUUUAAAGUUGUUGCGUUUAAAACGCUCGUAGUUGGAUCACGCAGCAGUGCUCAGUAAUCUGCUGCCUGACUUCGACCAAUGAAACCCACUUCUGUGGCCUUUCGGUAGCUGUCGGCAGUAGAUGCCAACGCUGAGCACUGUUAGUUGCACGUGAGAUGAAUUGUUGGCCUUUAUUGAGCCGGUAUUCUCGUCUUGCGGAGUGUGCCUUGAAUAAAACAGAGUGCUUAAAGCAGGUCAUUGCCUGAAUGUUAUAGCAUGGAACGAACAAUCGUGUAUAUGUAUGCAUCCUUGAAUGGUGAUGAGCCUUAGGUUUGUUGUUACUCAGGAUGCAUACGGCACCCACCAAAAUAUGGCUGUUGGUUCCAUAUACGGUGAUGAUUAAAAGGAGCGGUUGGGGGCAUCGGUAUUUGGCCGCGAGAGGUGAAAUUCUUAGACCGGCCAAGGACUAACAAAUGCAAAGGCACUUGUCUAGACCGUUUCCAUUAAUCAAGAACGAAAGUGGGAGGUUCGAAGACGAUCAGAUACCGUCCUAGUUCCCACUGUAAACUAUGCCGACCUGGGAUCAGUUUAGAGAUGUUACAAGCUCUAGAUUGGUCCCCCUGGGAAACCUGAAGUUUUUCGGUUACGGGGAGAGUAUGGUCGCAAGGCUGAAACUUAAAGGAAUUGACGGAAGGGCACCACCAGGGGUGGAGCCUGCGGCUUAAUUUGACUCAACACGGGGAAACUUACCUGGUCCGGACAUCGAUAGGAUUAACAGAUCGAUAGCUCUUUUAUGAUGCGAUGAGUGGUGGUGCAUGGCCGUUCUUAGUUCGUGGAGUGAUCUGUCGGCCUAAUUGCGGUAACGAACGAGACCAUAGUCUCCAUUUAAGAAAUAGAAGCAGACGAAGGGCGGCGUGGAAUCGCAAGAUUCUACUCGUCCGGCGUUGUAGGUCGGAUUAUGCGUUGCAUUGUCAGAGUCUUGGGGUCAAACCUGAGGUUUUGAUGGUGCGAUGUAUUUUCUCCCUUCUAUUAAGCAGCAAUUGGUUUCGACUGAUUGUUGCCUUAUGGAGAGACAACGAGGUAUAAACAA